rnacentral:lncRNA from 1 species
CCUCGCCCAGCGUGGCGCGCUGGCGGCCUCCGCAGCCGAGGCUGUGCGCUCCGGUGCUCUGGCGCUGGGCUCGGGCGCGCCCGUGAACAGCGCGGUUUCACACCCAAAGGCACCGUAGUAAAGUGAAGCUAAAAGCCAAAUUGUGCAGGAAGGGGUGGGGGGGAAGGCAGAAGAGUGAGAGGAAAAAUAAGUUUCGGGACAGAACCGAGUGGAGGAAAAAAGAAGUGCUCGCUCCGACGUGUUUGCGUGGCUGCAUGCAAACUGAAACGGACGCUCCUAUCUCUGGACUUCUAACAACACCUGAUUCUAGGAAAUGAAGGGAUUUGUUUGCUAUGUCAGUCUGUCGUGGAGCCAUCACUUCAAGAUGCCUGAAGAAAGAGAUUUACUGUACAGCUCCUUAGAUCUUCAAACAAAAUUCUUCUGAUGUUGGUCUAUUCUCUGUUGGGGGUGCCUACAAGGUGCUGGUUUCAAGGCAGAUCCUGAUCACACUAUCAAAUUGCACCCUUAUAUCUCUACCUGGAAGAGCGACUUUGAAAGAAGGAAGAUCUCAAGACAUGGCUGAUGACACCUCUGUCCCUCAGACUUGUUGUCCAUCUGCUGACAUAAAAGCAGCCCAUCAGCACUGCUUUUAAAAUUGAUUUCAGAGCAGGGUUGCAAAAGCACUGUGGCAAUUUAAUUGAUAGUGUGGAAAUAGUUGAAAAAAUGACUGUGAAUCUUUUGAUUGCUUCUGAAAUAGAAACAGUCUGGCAUCAGAGCUGUGCUGUGUAGCUGAUAUACAGAGUUAGUGACACAGCUGUACAGGUAAAGAUUAUUUUAAUAAUAAUGGAGGGAGGGAAAAUAGGCAUCAGCUAUCUCAGGGUAAGUGGAGCUCAACUUAUUGGUAAAACUGAUGUAAAGUAAAGCUGUAGGAAACAUAUUUUAGAAUAAGAGUUAUUAAUUACAGUAAAGUCUACAAAUGAUACUAUAUGUCUAUAAAUAUGUACUGUAAAAUGGAGUAUAUGGAACCUCUAAGGAAAUUUGGGAGCUCAAAUUGAUCCAGUCUCCACCUCAUUUUA